CUCCAGUGCAGUGACAGGGACACUGCAGCUAACAGGUUAGCCCAUUCUGUUGUCUAUGUGGACCCCAGUGCUCCAGUGCAGUGACAGGGACACUGCAGCUAACAGGUUAGCCCAUCCUGUUGUCUGUGUGGACCCCAGUGCUCCAGUGCAGUGACACUGCAGCUAACAGGUUAGCCCAUCCUGUUGUCUGUGUGGACCCCAGUGCUCCAGUGCAGUGACAGGGACACUGCAGCUAACAGGUUAGCCCAUCCUGUUGUCUGUGUGGACCCCAGUGCUCCAGUGCAG